rnacentral:rRNA from 1 species
AGCGAACGCUGGCGGCAGGCCUAACACAUGCAAGUCGAACGAACCUUUCGGGGUUAGUGGCGGACGGGUGAGUAACACGUGGGAACGUGCCUUUAGGUUCGGAAUAACUCAGGGAAACUUGUGCUAAUACCGAAUGUGCCCCUCGGGGGAAAGAUUAAUCGCCUUUAGAGCGGCCCGCGUCUGAUUAGCUAGUUGGUUGAGGUAAUGGCUCACCAAGGCGACGAUCAGUAGCUGGUCUGAGAGGAUGAUCAGCCACAUUGGGACUGAGACACGGCCCAAAAUCCUACGGGAGGCAGCAGUGGGGAAUCUUGCGCAACGGGCGAAAGCAUGACGCAGCCAUGCCGGGUGAAUGAUGAAGGUCGUAGGAUUGUAAAAUUCUUUAACCGGGGACGAUAAUGACGGUACCCGGAGAAGAAGCCCCGGCUAACUUCGUG